rnacentral:rRNA from 1 species
UGGGGAAUUGUUCACAAUGGGCGCAAGCCUGAUGACGCAACGCCGCGUGGGGGAUGAAGGUCUUCGGAUCGUAAACCCCUGUCGAAUGGGACGAAAGACUCGCGAGUGAAUACUUCGCGAGAGUGACGGUACCGUUAAAGGAAGCCACGGCUAACUCUGUGCCAGCAGCCGCGGUAAUACAGAGGUGGCAAGCGUUGUUCGGAAUUACUGGGCGUAAAGGGCGCGUAGGCGGCCCUCUAAGUCAGACGUGAAAUCCCCCGGCUUAACCUGGGAACUGCGUCUGAUACUGGAGGGCUUGAGUAUGGGAGAGGGAUGUAGAAUUCCAGGUGUAGCGGUGAAAUGCGUAGAUAUCUGGAGGAAUACCUGAGGCGAAGGCGGGUUGCUAGGCUGAUACUGACGCUGAGGCGCGAAAGCUAGGGUAGCAAACGGGAUUAGAUACCCUCGUAGUCCCUGAGCGGGCUGGCAAGGCGCAU